GAUGAACGCUGGCGGCGUGCUUAACACAUGCAAGUCGAACGAAACACCUUAUUUGAUUUUCUUCGGAACUGAAGAUUUGGUGAUUGAGUGGCGGACGGGUGAGUAACGCGUGGGUAACCUGCCCUGUACAGGGGGAUAACAGUCAGAAAUGACUGCUAAUACCGCAUAAGACCACAGCACCGCAUGGUGCAGGGGUAAAAACUCCGGUGGUACAGGAUGGACCCGCGUCUGAUUAGCUGGUUGGUGAGGUAACGGCUCACCAAGGCGACGAUCAGUAGCCGGCUUGAGAGAGUGAACGGCCACAUUGGGACUGAGACACGGCCCAAACUCCUACGGGAGGCAGCAGUGGGGAAUAUUGCACAAUGGGGGAAACCCUGAUGCAGCGACGCCGCGUGAGUGAAGGAGUAUUUCGGUAUGUAAAGCUCUAUCAGCAGGGAAGAAAAUGACGGUACCUGACUAAGAAGCCCCGGCUAACUACGUG
rnacentral:rRNA from 1 species